AUAGAAGUAGUAAUCAUGGUACGAGUGGAAAUGACACCGAGAAUUAGCUGAGACUGACAGAGAGAGGGCCAGAGAAUCAAAUAUGUCGGCGUCGAACAUAGACGCGCGCGACAAGAUGAGGGCCAAAGACAUCAACACUGCCUUGGCCCGAGGCGACCGCCCCCCCCGCCCCGCCCCGCCCCCGAGCCCGACACCGUUUCCAGAGCCCUUCCUCCCACCGCCGUCGACAAUGACCCGGCCAAGCCCAAGGUACAAACUAAGACGAAACGACCCUCUUCCCGCGUGCAUGUCGCAUAGAGUUCAGUUCAGUAGCUGGUCUGUCAGUGCAUGCGACUCGUUUCCUAAUAAAGUCUUAACGGAAUGACUGCGAGUGCGUGGUUUGGCAUGGAACCCUUAUGCUGGCGGAGGACUCGAAGACCGCGUCCGCCGAUACGCAUCUCCUGCGCCACUGCUACGCUAGUUACCUUGAGUAUCACAAGUGCAUUAACGAGAAGGUUGAGGAUUCGCGGAAUGCAAGAAACUCGCAAAGCAUUGCCAGUCACCAUGCCCUUCCGAAUGGAUUUGGGACGAACAAAGAGCUCGAGGAACAUUCCCAAGUCCGAUGUGAAGGAGACCUGGGAAAUUUUGCAUUUCCCUCAAACUUCAAUCGAUUUCCGAGUAAUUUAAAUUAUAAAUAGAAAUCAGUAGAAAGAGAUGUCAAAGGUUGAACAUUUGUUAUCACUACUGCUCCAUGUCCUUUGAUUGAAUCUCCACUUUCAUCUGUGAUAAUGUAAGGCUAGCUCUUGGUGAAUUCUACUUUCUGCUUUAUUGUUGGUAA